AUAGAGCAGCUUCAUCGAUCCCCUCUUUUCUCCAGGAGUUAAGAACCAGUCCCACCCCAUUCUAGGUUCUUCCCGGUCACGACAGGAAUACAAGGAGCUUGCACUUCACACCCACAAGUCUUCAGGCCAUUUAGGGUGUGUGCACUCAUAUGUAUGUGUGCAUGUGUACACACGUGUUCUUCUAACAGAAGAACCAGGCCAUUACCUCUUCAUUCUCCUCAUCAGGACUCCCCUUCAGAGACUGAAGAUCAACCUCCCGCCAGCUGCAAAACCAAGAACAGACAAUCAUGAGAUGGCAAGCAGGCUAAAACUGGGGGCAGGGUCAAAGUGUCCAUGCAAGGAUGAGAAUCCUGCACCUGUGGGUGACACUGCUCUCUGCCGGGUAGGCUCUGCCCUAUCACAGCUCAGUCUCCCUACCCUGUCAAGGCCUGUGAAAUUGGCCACCUACUCAAAUGCCCAAGAAGGCCAGAAAUGAGAGAAGCGGCCUAGGGUAAGGCUGAGGCUGAGAGACUGUGACAAACACAAGAAAAGAAACCUGUUUAAAGAGGACCACCACUGUUCAGGACCAGCUGAUUGCUCCCAUAUGGAAAUGCAUACCCAGGGUUGCCUAAUCUUCUGUUUGGCAACAAAAGCUGGAAACAAAGAUUUUUAUGUGAAAUCCUGCUUUGAUGUUGACAACAAAUUCAGUAUUUUAAAACAUACUGUAUGUGUUGACAAAACCGGUCUCUAGACCAGUAAGUGAAUGGCCUACCAGGCUGUGACUGCUGGUUCGUUUGGUGUAUUCCUAUAAUGGAAUGAGAGAGAACUAUAUACAGAAAUAAUUUCGUUCUUAUCAGAUAAGAAUUUCUCUUAAUGAGAAGACAGAACCAAAGACUAGGGCCCAACUCUUGGUCAGAAGAGAAGAGGGAAAAAGGGCAAUAGCAGGAAGAAUGGGGAGAGGAGCCAACUAUUCUGAGCUUCUACCUGGGCGUAAGGAUUUCCUUGUAUUGCAGUUUCUCUACGCGAGUUGUUGCAGCAACAGACAUUGGGAUGACAAUGUUGUUAAUAUCAAAUGAGCUCUCUCCCCUUCUCCUCCUUACUGGCUGCUGCUGUAAGAUAAAAAUUAAGUUUAAAAGGAAGGUACAAUUUUACAGACAUCAAAUCAUUCAUCUAAGAGUUAAAGCAGGAUCACCAAUAACCAAGCAUCUGGGUCCUUGGGUUGAAGCUGAGUAAUGACCAUAGCAGCUGCUCCCACCUAGGAGUCAGUCUCCAACAGCAAAAAACCUCACGGAGAAAUACCAGGUGGUCAUGAGGAGUUAGUCCCAUUCAUAAGUCCCACUGGUCACCCUCUUCCUUCAAGGGCUCAUGCGUAAAUUUCAUAGGGGUGGGUACCUGGGAUCUUAACUGUUGGGGUUCCUACUCUAUAUACACCUCUAUUAACCUCCUCUCCUUUUACAAUCUUUAUUUCCUUCCUUUAUCCCCGUUUAUGACUUAAGACUCAUAGUGGCCCCUCCCCUAAAAGCAAUGCUUGAAAGCUUAUGCUGAAAGAGGCCCAAAGGAUAGGCCCAUCUCAAUACAUCAUCUAACCUUGGUUGUCAUGAAUGCACCUCCUUCUCAAAGAUCUGAACUCUUCAGCUAAAUCUGCACCCACCAUCUGCCCAGUCUUUAUGUGAUUUCCCCUCUUUUGAUGAUUCUUGGGGAAAGAGCUGAGAGCUUUCUAGCUGUAUCAAAGGAGAUGAAUGGAGGGAAACUAAAGAGGAGAACCUGACUAUACCUCACAUUCCUGGUGAAAGGAAAUUUGCUUCUAUAGGAAAUAGUUGAGAAGACCAAACUCUUGGAAAAAUAAGACUUCCAAGGAUCGAAUAUCAGAGGCAGAGGUAAGCAUCUACAGUAGCUGGGAGACUAGGGAACUAAAUGGCUUAGUCUCUUGGAUGGAGGAAGAAGUCUACUAGCUGCUGCUGCCCAGAUAGUUAAUACCCUAUCCUGAAACAGAGACUAGCAACUGAGCUGUGAGAGGCCAGAAGGAAACAGUGGCAUAACAAACACGCUGCCAUGGCAACAAAACAGCUGGAAAACACCUAAGAGGCUGCAUUUAUACCUAAACCACCAAGUGUGGUCAGUCCACAGGGAAGGGGUUGGAGGAGUAAGAAGUCCCCUAUAACUAACCCCUCUAUCCUCUGUUCCUGGACGGUGAGAUACCCUUUAUUCAUCCUAUCAUCUUAGGACAUUCUCAGAGAAUGUUAAAAGUCAGCACUUCCUGGGCCAGAGUUUCAGUCACUGUCAUUUAUAACUUCAGAUGACCACAAUGCCCUUUUCACUUCAAUUUCUUUCUCUAUCAAAUCAGAUGACUGCCAUUGACCUCAGAAAUUUAGGAUAUCUGGUUAACCAAAAUGGUUAAACAGACUUUUGGGGAUCUUGCCUGAGUUCUGUAGCUGAGGAUUAGUGAUCUCAUACCCAGAGACCUCUGCCACUGCCAGAUCUGUGCUGAAAUUAUACAUCCCACUACAAGAAAUGCAUCUUAAGAAAGCCUCAAGAGAGACAGCCUUCCCAGUAUCUUGGUCAAGAAUAAAUGUGAAACUGCUGGCAGAAACAGGUAGAGUCCGAGGAAUAGACAGGAAGAAAUGGUAUCGCCUGACAGUCAAUUCUACAAUUCUUUUCUUUAAAGAGAACAUGGCAAACUUACACAGUACAACUGCAUACUAGAAUAAAACAAGGAAAGUACUGAAAAUUCACCAUGCAAAUACUAAUUGUUCCAGCAAUUCUCUCAUCUCCCUUAUUUGUCA
rnacentral:lncRNA from 1 species